rnacentral:rRNA from 1 species
UACGUAGGGUGCAAGCGUUGUCCGGAAUUAUUGGGCGUAAAGAGCUCGUAGGCGGUUCGUCGCGUCUGCUGUGAAAACCCGGAGCUCAACUCCGGGCCUGCAGUCGAUACGGGCGGACUUGAGUGUUGCAGGGGAGACUGGAAUUCCUGGUGUAGCGGUGAAAUGCGCAGAUAUCAGGAGGAACACCGGUGGCGAAGGCGGGUCUCUGGGCAACUACUGACGCUGAGGAGCGAAAGUGUGGGGAGCGAACAGG